rnacentral:lncRNA from 1 species
GAACCUUAAAGGAAAGGGUUAUAAUUCUUUAAAACUCUUCAAAUAUAAUUCCUAAGGAUGAAUUUAACAAUCAGCUGGUAACUGAGAAGCUGGGAGAUCUGCAAGGAAGGUUCUUGUGAGAGGACGAUGAAGAUGGAUAGCACCGAACCAGGAGAGGAAGGAUAUGAAGAAUGACGGCAUCUCAAAGGGGAGGAGUUACAUGCUUUGUGCAUUGCAAGCAAUGGUGUGCUGGUGAAAUCUUAACAACCAGUUCUCCAGAGAAGAAAAGGGGAACCCUGAUUUGUAGCAUUGGCCAAGGUGGAAAUAGUCCUGCUACACCCCAUUUCAAGUCACAGGAUGCAGUUGAAAAACUGCGCACCUUUCGGUUUGUGACCCAGUAGGAG